AUUGAACGCUGGCGGCAGGCCUAACACAUGCAAUUCGAGCGGAGCGGCGGACGGGUGAGUAAUGCCUAGGAAUCUGCCUGGUAGUGGUGGAUAACGUCCGGAAACGGGCGCUAAUACCGCAUACUAUCAUGUUAGCCUAGGUCGGAUUAGCUAGUUGGUGGGGUAAAGGCCUACCAGGGCGACGAUACGUAACUGGUCUUAGAGGAUGAUCAGUAACACUGGAACUUAGAAAAGGUCCAGAUUCCUACGGGAGGCAGCAGUGGGGAAGAUGAGACAAUGGGCGAAAGCCUGAUCCAGCCAAGCGGCGUGGAUGAAGAAGGUCUUAGGAUUGUAAAGCACUUUAAGUUGGGAGGCGUUACCAACAGAAUAAGCACCGGCUAACUUCGUGCCAGCAGCCGCGGUAAUAC
rnacentral:rRNA from 1 species